CAACUAUGUGACCUGGAGAAAUGAAACGGUCACAUUCUAUCAAGUUGAAAAAGGAUUUUCAUUUUUCUGAAGCAGUGAGGGAGGAGGUGUGGUCUCUGGCCAGGAAGCAGAUGGAAAGUGCUGGUGUCAGAGACUAAAUGCGCCCCAGAAGCAGGCAGUCUCCUCCCGACGCUGCCAUGGGCAACAGGUUUCUCUGCGGUCUUAUCAUUUGUCUCCUCAGAGUGGGCCUCAAGGAUGCUGUCGUCACACAGUUCCCAAGACACAGGGUCUUGAGGACAGGAAAGGAAUUAACUCUACAUUGUUCACAGAAUAUGAAUCACAAUUACAUGUACUGGUAUCGCCAAGACCCAGGAUUUGGACUGCGGCUGAUCUCUUCUUCAACUGACACCAAUACCUCUGAGGAGGGUGAUGUCUGGGAGGGGUAACGUGUGUCUCGGGAUGACCUGAAAUAUUUCCUCCUGACCUUGCCGUCUGCCAGCCUCAACCAGACAUCUGUGUACCUCUGCGCCAGCAGUGAAUCCACAGCACUGCACCACCACAUCCUCUCUGCACAAAAAGAGAAGCAAACCCAGGAGUGAGCGGAUGCUGACCUCAAGAUCCCUGACCCCCGCUGGAAGUUUACUCAAAAACCUGCCCUGAAACCCUGCCCUGCCCUUAACAUUCUUUACCUCCCUCUUCCCAUCCUCAUCCUUCUAAAUCACCCUCCCUGUCAUCAUUCCAGGCUUCGCUUCUGCUUGAUAGUCCACCCACCUAGAGGGCAUUAGCCCAAUGGAAACGUUUUCUAGGACAAACUUCACUUUUCAGAUUGCGAUGUAAGGAAUUCGAUGAGAUUAAA